rnacentral:rRNA from 1 species
AUUGAACGCUGGCGGAAUGCUUUACACAUGCAAGUCGAGCGGCAGCGCGGGGGCAACCCUGGCGGCGAGCGGCGAACGGGUGAGUAAUACAUCGGAACGUACCCUGUCGUGGGGGAUAACACAUCGAAAGAUGUGCUAAUACCGCAUACGACCUGAGGGUGAAAGCGGGGGACCGUAAGGCCUCGCGCGAUAGGAGCGGCCGAUGGCGGAUUAGCUAGUUGGUGAGGUAAAGGCUCACCAAGGCGACGAUCCGUAGCUGGUCUGAGAGGAUGAUCAGCCACACUGGAACUGAGACACGGUCCAGACUCCUACGGGAGGCAGCAGUGGGGAAUUUUGGACAAUGGGGGCAACCCUGAUCCAGCCAUUCCGCGUGAGUGAAGAAGG